rnacentral:lncRNA from 1 species
UAAAAAUUAGACAUAUGGCAAAUUUUGAAUCGGUGACCGACGCCAUUAGACUUGCUCUAUCGUAUUUCAACUAUAUAGAAAAUAAAUUUUGCGAUUUUUUUACAUCAUUUACCUAGUGAUCGAAAGAAUUCAAAAUCAAUACUUGAAAAUAAAAAUCUCACAAAUCUUAUAAUGUAACAUUAAAAUUUUUUAUCAGAGAUAUUGAUUUUGUUGUAAACAGUAUAAAAAAUUUUUUAUCAAAAUUUUAUCUGAUUUGAAUAUUUAUACACCAUUAAACUUGUAAACGACAUACAUCAACUAUUAAAAACUAUUAAUUUUAAAUCCUUUUGAUCAUUAGGUAUCAAAAAUUCACAAAAAAUAUUUUCUAAUUACUUCAAAUAUUGUGAAUCAAGUUUAACGGAACCGAUCGUCGAUUUUGAAGUUUCAUCAUCAAUGGCUUAGGUGCACCGAGAUGAUUUUGAAGUUUCAUCUCAAUUUUUCUUCUCUUUAAAUUUCUUCUCAAUUUCAUUUCUCUCCCUCACAUUAACUGUCCAUCAAAUUAAUGAAUGAUUACAAACUUAGGAAUAUAAAGAUUAUUGUGCUCCUAAUAACUAAUAACGCAACAGCCUUGCGCACUAUCUCUCUUUCUCUCUCUCUCUAUAUAUAAACUGAUUAUAUAAUUAUUGCUGAUGGCAAUUAUUUAAAUUUGAGUUAGUUAUGAUAGAUAUUUUUUAACAAAAAAUGACAGACAAAUUUUGACUUUUUUAAUUUAUUUUUUUUUUGGUAAUUUUUUUGAUAAAUGAACCUUUUUUUGACAGAAAAUAAAUUUUAAUUUCUCUUUUUUCUUACGCAAAAUAAAUAACAUCACGAAACAAGAUUUAAAUCUCUUUUUUUCUCAAAUAGAUAACCUUUCUCUUUUUUCUUAAAUAUUUCCAUAUCAUUUCAUAUGUUUUCUUUAUAAUUGAAUAUUUCUAGAUUAUCUCAAUAUUAACCAUUAAUUAAGUGUUAUAUUAAUAAUUUAUUGAUUGCAAUCGAUAAUCAAAUUUAAAUUUAAUUUAAAAUAUAUAUUUAAAUUUUAUUCUUAUUUAUUUUUAUAAUUUUAUUUUAUAUUAAAUUCAUAGUUGAAAUUUAAUUACACAAUUUAAAAUUAAAUUAAAUUUUGGAUAUCAAACAUAAAUGAAUAAUUAAAAAUUUUAAUUAAUAUGGAUCAAUUAAAUUUUAAAUUAGAAUUAAAGGUGAAUUAAAAUUUUAAUAUU